rnacentral:tRNA from 1 species
GCACCCAUAGCUCAGCUGGAUAGAGUGCCGGUUUCCGAAGCCGUAGGUCAGUGGUUCGAAUCCACUUGGGUGCACCA